UACCAGCACCUCAAGUGGUCAGGAUGAUUAUUGGGCCUAAAGCAUCCGUAGCCUGUUCUGUAAGUUUUCGGUUAAAUCUAUGCGCUCAACGUAUAGGCUGCCGAAAACACUGCAGAACUAGGGAGUGGGAGAGGUAGACGGUACUCGGUAGGAAGGGGUAAAAUCCUUUGAUCUAUUGAUGACCACCUGUGGCGAAGGCGGUCUACCAGAACACGUUCGACGGUGAGGGAUGAAAGCUGGGGGAGCGAACAGG
rnacentral:rRNA from 1 species